rnacentral:rRNA from 1 species
UACGGAGGGUGCAAGCGUUAAUCGGAAUUACUGGGCGUAAAGCGUGCGUAGGUGGUUGAUUAAGUUAUCUGUGAAAUCCCCGGGCUUAACCUGGGCAGGUCAGAUGAUACUGAUUGACUCGAGUAUGGGAGAGGGUAGUGGAAUUUCCGGUGUAGCGGUGAAAUGCGUAGAGAUCGGAAGGAACACCAGUGGCGAAGGCGGCUACCUGGCCUAAUACUGACACUGAGGCGCGAAAGCGUGGGGAGCAAACAGG